AACGGGGGGGACUAGUGUUAUUCAUCCUAACGGGGCGUAAAGCGCACGUAGGCGGACAUUUAAGUCAGGGGUGAAAUCCCGGGGCUCAACCCCGGAACUGCCUUUGAUACUGGAUGUCUGGAGUAUGGAAGAGGUGAGUGGAAUUCCGAGUGUAGAGGUGAAAUUCGUAGAUAUUCGGAGGAACACCAGUGGCGAAGGCGGCUCACUGGCCCGAUACUGACGCUGAGGCGCGAAAGCGUGGGGAGCAAACAGG
rnacentral:rRNA from 1 species